CCUUCUCCUCCUCCACCACCUCCUCCUCCCUCCCUGUGUCUCAGUCUGAGUCUCCGCCUCUCCGCCGCCGGGCCCUGACUGCUGCGCCACGUGAUCCGUCACAUGACCCUGCACAUUUAGCAGGCGCCUCCCCAAACCUCCUCCCGGCUCGGCUCCAAUCCUGGCUUCGGGGCCAGGCGAGACCGGACCCGCAGUCCCCAGCAGCCGCCGGGGCCGUCUCCUUCCUUCCUCCCGCCCACCCUCAGCCUCUGCCUCUCUGCUUCCCCCUACCAGCCCGGCCGCUCGCUCUCCGCGCUCCCCCACCAGUCAGUCCCUCCCUGGGCGCUCGCCCUCGCGGAGUUCCUCGUGCCCUCCCCCACCUCCGGCCCGAGACCCCGGCGCGACGCGCCUAGCGAGGGCUGGUACCGCCCUGGCCCGCUAAUUCCGAGAGAGUCCCGCCACUUUGCGCGCCUUCCCCUCCCCCCGCUUUUGGCCGGUUUGAGCAGCCCGUCCUCUCCCCUCGCGCGCGCACUCCGCGCGCUGACACUUGUUUGGGGUCCUGGGCAAGGCGCCUCAGUUACCUCAAGCGUCAAACCGGGAUAACAGCGUCCGCCUCUCCAGGGAGGCAUAGAAGAAUUUGCCAAAAGAAGAUAUCUGAGUAUAGAAGCAAGUGUCCUCUGUCUUUACACCAUAGCAUGAGGCAUCAGGAAGGAGAAGAAAAGGUUACUUUUACCUUCUGAAUCCGAUUUUUCUUGUGCAACAAGAG